rnacentral:tRNA from 1 species
CAGAGUGUAGCGCAGUCUGGUAGCGCACCUGUCUUGGGCACAGGGGGUCGUAGGUUCAAAUCCUACCAUUCUGACCA